UGGGGAAUUUUCCGCAAUGGGCGAAAGCCUGACGGGAGCAGUGCCGCGUGGAGGUGGAAGGCCUACGGGUCGUCAACUUUCUUUUCUCGGAGAAGAAACAAUGACGGUAUCUGAGGAAUAAGCAUCGGCUAACUCUGCGCCAG
rnacentral:rRNA from 1 species